UUUAAGGUCUGACCUGCUCAAUGAAAUUUUAAAUAGCUGCGGUAUUUUGACCGUGCAAAGGUAGCAUAAUCAUUAGUUUUUUAAUUGAAAGCUGGAAUGAACGGUUGGAUGAGAAAAAAACUGUCUCUUAAAAAUUUUAUUAGAACUUUAUUUUUAAGUAAGAAAGCUUAAAUUUAUUUUAAAGACGAGAAGACCCUUUAGAGUUUUAUAUAAUUUAAUAAUUUAUAAUUAAAGAAUUUAUUGUUUUAAUUAUUGAUUUAUAUUUGGUUGGGGUGAUUGAAAAAUUUAAUAAACUUUUUUUUUUUAUAACAUUUAUUUAUGAAUAAUUGAUCCAUUGUUAGUGAUUAUAAGAAUAAAUUACCUAAGGGAUAACAGCGUUAUUUUUUUUGAGAGUUCAAAUCGAAAAAAAAGAUUGCGACCUCGAUGUUGGAUUAAAAUUAAAUUAUGGUGUAGCAGCUAUAACUUUAGGUCUGUUCGACCUUUAAAAUUUUACAUGAUCUGAGUUUAAACCGGCGUGAGCCAGGUUGGUUUCUAUCUUAAAUUAUUUUUAAUAUUUCAGUACGAAAGGACCUAAUAUUAUUUUAAUAAAAUUUAAUUAGAUAUAUUGUGUUAUUUUGGCAGAAUAGUGCGAUAGAUUUAGGAUCUUUUAAUGUAAAUUUUACAUUUAACAUUUGAUGUUAAAAGAUUUAUUUUUAUUAUUUUUUUCUAGAUUAAUUUUGUUAAUUUGUGUUUUGGUAGGGGUUGCUUUUUUAACAUUAUUAGAGCGUA
rnacentral:rRNA from 1 species